rnacentral:rRNA from 1 species
AUUGAACGCUGGCGGAAUGCUUUACACAUGCAAGUCGAACGGUAGAGGGGUCAACCCCUCGAGAGUGGCGAACGGGUGAGUAAUAUAUCGGAACGUGCCCAGUCGUGGGGGAUAACGUAGCGAAAGUUACGCUAAUACCGCAUACGAUCUACGGAUGAAAGCGGGGGAUCGCAAGACCUCGCGCGAUUGGAGCGGCCGAUAUCAGAUUAGGUAGUUGGUGGGGUAAAGGCUCACCAAGCCAACGAUCUGUAGCUGGUCUGAGAGGACGACCAGCCACACUGGAACUGAGACACGGUCCAGACUCCUACGGGAGGCAGCAGUGGGGAAUUUUGGACAAUGGACGCAAGUCUGAUCCAGCCAUUCCGCGUGCAGGAUGAAGGCCCUCGGGUUGUAAACUGCUUUUGUACGGAACGAAAAGGUCUCUCCUAAUACGAGGGGCUCAUGACGGUACCGUAAGAAUAAGCACCGGCUAACUACGUG